GUGUUCUCUUCAGCAACACAUAUACUAAAAUUGAAACAAUACAGAGAAAAUUAGCAUGGCCCCUGUGUAAAUAAAAGUAACUAAUCAAUAUUGUAACAGAAAUAUUUAUU